rnacentral:rRNA from 1 species
GACGAACGCUGGCGGCGUGCUUAACACAUGCAAGUGGAGCGACGAACCGGGGCUUGCCCCGGGGCAGAGCCGCGAACGGGUGAGUAACACGUGGGUAACCUACCCCGAUGACCGGGACAACUCGAGGAAACUCGGGCUAAUACCGGAUGGGCCCCUGGACCAGAGGGUCCAGGCGUAAAGACAGCUUCGGCCUUCCCAUCGGGCCGGGCCAGCGGCCCAUUAGCUUGUUGGUGGGGUAACGGCCUACCAAGGCGACGAUGGGUAGCUGGUCUGAGAGGACGAUCAGCCACACUGGGACUGAGACACGGCCCAGACUCCUACGGGAGGCAGCAGUGGGGAAUCUUGCACAAUGCGCGAAAGCGUGAUGCAGCAACGCCGCGUGGGGGAAGAAGGCCUUCGGGUUGUAAACCCCUUUCAGUUGGGACGAAGCUUCGCCGGUGAAUAGCCGGCUGGAGUGACGGUACCUUCACAAGAAGCCCCGGCUAACUACGUGCCAGCCGCCGCCGUAAUAC